GAUGAUUAAGAUGAGGUGAGUCAGGUGACUUAACACCAUUUCAUUUAGUUUUGUUUUUUUUAAUUUGGUUUAACCCCCAAUUUGAUUGCCAAUCAAACUGGUUAGCAUCAUAGUUAGCCGAUUUAAUUGAAGAUAGUUCAAAAGUGUUUAAGCAAACUAGCUGUAUAGGUGGUAUCUAAUCUUACCAUUUUUGAAAUUGUGUGACACUUUACAACUGGGUUACCAUUCCCUAUCGCAGUUAUUCCAAAAAGUUUGGUUCCGGCAACAACUCUAUCUAAACAACCGACGUAAAGUGGAUAUAGGUAAUGGUAUCAAUGACAAAAAGCUUUAUGUUAAGUGUGCAAUGUACAUUGAUGGUGCUCCAUUUUGGCUUCCCAUGAAAACCAGGCUAGAAUUUUCUGGUCCACCCUUUUGCUGGGUGAACGUUUACAUUGAGUGCCAGAUAUGGAGACUUGACUACCAACUCUGAAAUUGCAACUGAUCAUGGGUGGGAAUGACAAAUUAGUGAAGUUGGUGUAAAUAAAUGCAAGUUUUGAAGAUGGAAGAUUGAGCUGUGGUUUCUCAAGUUUCAGAGGAAAAAGGGCAACCAUGGAAGACUUCUUUGAUGCCAAAACUUGCAAGAUCGAUGGGCAGACCGUCUGCCUAUUUGGGAUAUUUGACGGCCAUCGUGGUUCACGUGCAGCCGAGUAUUUGAAGCAAAAUCGUUUUAACAACCUCAUGAUGCACCCUCAAUUCAUGACAAACACUAAAAUGGUCCUAAGUGAAACUUAUUAAGGAACCGACUCAGAUUUUUGGAGUUUUAAAAGGAUAAUUCGAGUGAUGAUGGUUCUACUAUGUCAACUCGAGUAAUGAGUUAGUCAAGAUUUUCCAAACCGCUAGAGAACUUUGUCAACCGAUGGAGUUCGAUAUUGAUCCAGCCAACCCUUCAUGGCUUUUUGUUCUAACGACAAGCAUGUGUUUCAAUUUCUAGAACGAAAGAAAGUGUGCAUUAGCUAUCGGUGUGCUACAAUUAGAAAGGCAUCCGGUUAUGCCAGAGGUGCCUGUUGCUUCAUUUACUGGCGAAGAAUCGAACGCGAAGACUGUGAAUGAACCGAUUGUGGAUCCUGAUGCACUAUCGUUUGGGUUUUUGGGCCAGAUCCCUAGAAACUUUAGUUUGUCACACUUAACGGCUGAUUUCAACAUCAGUUCAGAAUGGCUGGAAUCGAAGUAUGCAAAAGUGGCUUUAUGGGGAGGUGACGAAUUGGGCUCGUAACUGUGCUCGUAAGCUUUGGUUCAGUCCUACCGGGUCCAGAAAACGAUAUUCCCUGUGUAACAAGUACUGGCAGUCUACUAGAAUGAGUAUGGUAUCUGUUUUUUUGGCUUUGUGUUUGUUGGUUUGCUCAUGGAUUCCCCGAGUUUGGAUUCCGGUUAUGCUAUCCCGUGUUUGGCUUCCGUUUUCUGGAUUAAAGCAUUGGAUACAAAAUUGCAAAGAGGUAGUGCUGCUGAUUAAGCUUUGUAAUGGCUUGAUGCUGCGAAUUCUUUUUCUGUUGUGGGCUUCCAAAUAUGAUACAGUUCAGAGCUGGUGGCAUCAGCCUGUGCUUUUAUUUUGGACCAACGGGAACAGCAGGUUCUUCUGCAAAUAUAGGGGCAUAUCGGUCAUUGUCCAGCUGUACAAAGCCAAGAAAUACUGCUUUACCAACGUAUGUAAUGCUGUCAGGGUUUUAGAAUGGAUGCUGAAGACUAAAAGUUGGGUUGAUGAGCAUCUGGGUUUGUGGUCCGGGUCUGUGAUCAUCUCGAUCUGGGCUUUGAGCUCCAUGUUUAACUUACGUAUUAACUUUGCGUCAGAAUUAACUUGGCAUCCGAGGUUAUGGUCCGGGUUUGUAGUCCAGCACCAGCUCCGGGUUCGUUGCCAAGGUCCAGGUUUGUCUGUCAGCUUCAACGUUUAUUUUGGUUAUCCGGGGUUUGUUUGUCAACUUCCGGGUUUGUUCGGGGAUUAUUCUGGCAUACAGGCCCUUCUAUGCUCCUGCUCCUCCAUUAUAAGCUGGAUUUGAGGGCCCUGCUUUGGUUAGAGGUUUGGUUAUAAUGACUGAUUUGGGCUGUAAUUAUUUCAUCUACAAUAUAUUCUUGGUGAAAAGAAAAAAAAAUAAUAAAUAAUUAACUAGAUGUCCAGCUUGCUAAUGAGCUGUAAUUAUUUCAUCUACAACAUUAAGGCACCCUAAGGCGACUAUGAUACAAUCAA